ensembl:lncRNA
AGUAAUAUAUUGUGUAUAUAAACUUCUUGUAUGUUAGUGUAAAUGUAGGCCUAUAUUGCUGUUGAAAAGUUUGGAGUCAGUAAGACUUGUAUUGUAUUGGUUUGUAUUGUAUUGGUUUCCACAAAAAUAUUAAGCAGCACAACUGUUAACCCAAUGUUUGUUUGUGCUCAUGAUUUGUUUUACCAUAGCAACAUGUGCUAAUGCCAACUCUGUUGGAAUCAACUGUGAAUGUUAAGAAAUGAAGAAUGAAGAUCUGCUUAGACAACCAGCAUGUCAUCAUCCAAAACACAACAUUGAUCUUUUCAGCAAGGCUGUCCCAGAGACCUGAGGGAGAAAGAGGAGAGCUGGUUGUCAUGUCAACAACAAUGCGAGUCCAUGCAGGAGCAGCUGUUGUCGUGCCAACAGAAACAGGAGGUGGUGACCCAGAGACUAGAAUGGGCAGAAGGGUUUUUGACCCUCGAAAAUGGAGACUUUCAAAAAUGCUGCAGACCCUGUUUGAGUUUAACAACCGCAGAAGUGUAAACGGACCAAAACUGAAACUUUUGAAAAUGAUGGUGUGGAUGCCCACAUUCGCUCUGCUUAUCUUUGAUGACCUUGUAAAGGUGUGCUUAGAGCAAUUGGCAACAAAGAUGUCCUUGCUUUUCCUCUGCAUUAUGCUCAUUGUUGUAACUGCCAGUGACUAGCAACCAACUGUAUACACUUUAAUGCGCAUACCCAGUGUGCAUGAGUGGUCAUAUGACAUGCUUUUUCAGUUGUGUAGUGUGGACGGAGAUUGUUUCUGAAAUGCAGAGAAAAUUCCUGUGAAGAUGAAGAUAGUUUUCAUUUUAAAAUUCCAUCAUUUAAAAUGCACUAGUGUAAACAGGGCCUUAAUUUGAGCACCACAUUUUUAGAACACAGUGUCAUGCAUGAGAUGCU